rnacentral:rRNA from 1 species
GGUUAAGCGACUAAGCGUACACGGUGGAUGCCCUGGCAGUCAGAGGCGAUGAAGGACGUGCUAAUCUGCGAUAAGCGUCGGUAAGGUGAUAUGAACCGUUAUAACCGGCGAUUUCCGAAUGGGGAAACCCAGUGUGUUUCGACACACUAUCAUUAACUGAAUCCAUAGGUUAAUGAGGCGAACCGGGGGAACUGAAACAUCUAAGUACCCCGAGGAAAAGAAAUCAACCGAGAUUCCCCCAGUAGCGGCGAGCGAACGGGGAGCAGCCCAGAGCCUGAAUCAGUGUGUGUGUUAGUGGAAGCGUCUGGAAAGGCGCGCGAUACAGGGUGACAGCCCCGUACACAAAAAUGCACAUACUGUGAGCUCGAUGAGUAGGGCGGGACACGUGGUAUCCUGUCUGAAUAUGGGGGGACCAUCCUCCAAGGCUAAAUACUCCUGACUGACCGAUAGUGAACCAGUACCGUGAGGGAAAGGCGAAAAGAACCCCGGCGAGGGGAGUGAAAAAGAACCUGAAACCGUGUACGUACAAGCAGUGGGAGCACAGAGCAAUCUGUGUGACUGCGUACCUUUUGUAUAAUGGGUCAGCGACUUAUAUUCUGUAGCAAGGUUAACCGAAUAGGGGAGCCGAAGGGAAACCGAGUCUUAACUGGGCGUUAAGUUGCAGGGUAUAGACCCGAAACCCGGUGAUCUAGCCAUGGGCAGGUUGAAGGUUGGGUAACACUAACUGGAGGACCGAACCGACUAAUGUUGAAAAAUUAGCGGAUGACUUGUGGCUGGGGGUGAAAGGCCAAUCAAACCGGGAGAUAGCUGGUUCUCCCCGAAAGCUAUUUAGGUAGCGCCUCGUGAAUUCAUCUCCGGGGGUAGAGCACUGUUUCGGCAAGGGGGUCAUCCCGACUUACCAACCCGAUGCAAACUGCGAAUACCGGAGAAUGUUAUCACGGGAGACACACGGCGGGUGCUAACGUCCGUCGUGAAGAGGGAAACAACCCAGACCGCCAGCUAAGGUCCCAAAGUCAUGGUUAAGUGGGAAACGAUGUGGGAAGGCCCAGACAGCCAGGAUGUUGGCUUAGAAGCAGCCAUCAUUUAAAGAAAGCGUAAUAGCUCACUGGUCGAGUCGGCCUGCGCGGAAGAUGUAACGGGGCUAAACCAUGCACCGAAGCUGCGGCAGCGACGCUUAGGCGUUGUUGGGUAGGGGAGCGUUCUGUAAGCCUGCGAAGGUGUGCUGUGAGGCAUGCUGGAGGUAUCAGAAGUGCGAAUGCUGACAUAAGUAACGAUAAAGCGGGUGAAAAGCCCGCUCGCCGGAAGACCAAGGGUUCCUGUCCAACGUUAAUCGGGGCAGGGUGAGUCGACCCCUAAGGCGAGGCCGAAAGGCGUAGUCGAUGGGAAACAGGUUAAUAUUCCUGUACUUGGUGUUGCUGCGAAGGGGGGACGGAGAAGGCUAUGUUGGCCGGGCGACGGUUGUCCCGGUUUAAGCGUGUAGGCUGGUUUUCCAGGCAAAUCCGGAAAAUCAAGGCUGAGGCGUGAUGACGAGGCACUACGGUGCUGAAGCAACAAAUGCCCUGCUUCCAGGAAAAGCCUCUAAGCAUCAGGUAACAUCAAAUCGUACCCCAAACCGACACAGGUGGUCAGGUAGAGAAUACCAAGGCGCUUGAGAGAACUCGGGUGAAGGAACUAGGCAAAAUGGUGCCGUAACUUCGGGAGAAGGCACGCUGAUACGUAGGUGAAGUCCCUCGCGGAUGGAGCUGAAAUCAGUCGAAGAUACCAGCUGGCUGCAACUGUUUAUUAAAAACACAGCACUGUGCAAACACGAAAGUGGACGUAUACGGUGUGACGCCUGCCCGGUGCCGGAAGGUUAAUUGAUGGGGUCAGCGCAAGCGAAGCUCUUGAUCGAAGCCCCGGUAAACGGCGGCCGUAACUAUAACGGUCCUAAGGUAGCGAAAUUCCUUGUCGGGUAAGUUCCGACCUGCACGAAUGGCGUAAUGAUGGCCAGGCUGUCUCCACCCGAGACUCAGUGAAAUUGAACUCGCUGUGAAGAUGCAGUGUACCCGCGGCAAGACGGAAAGACCCCGUGAACCUUUACUAUAGCUUGACACUGAACAUUGAGCCUUGAUGUGUAGGAUAGGUGGGAGGCUUAGAAGUGUGGACGCCAGUCUGCAUGGAGCCGACCUUGAAAUACCACCCUUUAAUGUUUGAUGUUCUAACGUUGACCCGUGAUCCGGGUUGCGGACAGUGUCUGGUGGGUAGUUUGACUGGGGCGGUCUCCUCCUAAAGAGUAACGGAGGAGCACGAAGGUUGGCUAAUCCUGGUCGGACAUCAGGAGGUUAGUGCAAUGGCAUAAGCCAGCUUGACUGCGAGCGUGACGGCGCGAGCAGGUGCGAAAGCAGGUCAUAGUGAUCCGGUGGUUCUGAAUGGAAGGGCCAUCGCUCAACGGAUAAAAGGUACUCCGGGGAUAACAGGCUGAUACCGCCCAAGAGUUCAUAUCGACGGCGGUGUUUGGCACCUCGAUGUCGGCUCAUCACAUCCUGGGGCUGAAGUAGGUCCCAAGGGUAUGGCUGUUCGCCAUUUAAAGUGGUACGCGAGCUGGGUUUAGAACGUCGUGAGACAGUUCGGUCCCUAUCUGCCGUGGGCGCUGGAGAACUGAGGGGGGCUGCUCCUAGUACGAGAGGACCGGAGUGGACGCAUCACUGGUGUUCGGGUUGUCAUGCCAAUGGCACUGCCCGGUAGCUAAAUGCGGAAGAGAUAAGUGCUGAAAGCAUCUAAGCACGAAACUUGCCCCGAGAUGAGUUCUCCCUGACUCCUUGAGAGUCCUGAAGGAACGUUGAAGACGACGACGUUGAUAGGCCGGGUGUGUAAGCGCAGCGAUGCGUUGAGCUAACCGGUACUAAUGAACCGUGAGGCUUAACCUU